rnacentral:rRNA from 1 species
UUCCGGUUGAUCCUGCCGGAGGCUACCGCUAUUGGAGUUCGAUUAAGCCAUGCGAGUCGAGAGUCUUAGGGACUCGGCGUACCGCUCAGUAACACGUGGGUAACCUGCCCUAUGCUGGGGAAUAACCUCGGGAAACUGAGAAUAAUACCCCAUAGUUCACCACGCCUGGAACGGUGGGUGGAUGAAAGCUCCGGCGGCAUAGGAUGGGCCUGCGACGUAUCAGGUUGUAGGGGGUGUAACGUACCCUCUAGCCAUCAACGCGUACGGGUGUUGGGAGACAUAGCCCGGAGAUGGAUUCUGAGACACGAAUCCAGACCCUACGGGGUGCAGCAGGCGCGAAAACUUGGCAAUGCGAGCAAUCGUGACCAGGGAACUCCAAGUGGCUGGGGUAAUACCCAGUUUUUUCUUGACUCUUCAAAGGUCUUGGAAUAAGGGGUGGGUAAGGACGGUGCCAGCCGCCGCGGUAAUACCGGCGCCUCAAGUGGUAGUCGCUUUUAUUGGGCCUAAAACGUCCGUAGCCGGUCUGGUGCAUUCGUGGGUAAAUCAACCCGCUCAACGGGUUGAAUUCUGCGAGCACGGCCAGACUUGGGACCGGGAGAGGUGUGGGGUACUCUCAGGGUAGGGGUAAAAUCCUGUCAUCCUGAGAGGACCACCUGUUGCGAAGGCGCCACACUAGAACGGAUUCGACGGUCAGGGACGAAACCUAGGGGCACGAACCGGAUUAGAUACCCGGGUAGUCCUAGGUGUAAACGCUGUGGACUUGAUGUUGGGGGUGCUCCGAGCACUCUCAGUGUCGAAGCGAAGGUGAUAAGUCCACUGCCUGGGGAGUACGGUCGCAAGGCUGAAACUUAAAGGAAUUGGCGGGGGAGCACUGCAACCUGAGGAUUGUGCGGUUUAAUUGGAUUCAACGCCGGGA